GUCUUAUUGAAAAUAAUUUUAAGUCUAAUCUGCCCAAUGAAAAUUUUAAUGGCUGCAGUAUCAAUAACUGUACAAAGGUAGCAUAAUAAUUAGUUUUUUAAUUAAAAACUAGAAUGAAAGAUUAAAUGAAAUAUAAACUUUAUAAAUAAAAUAAAAAUUAAAAUUAAAUUUUAAGUUAAAAUUCUUAAAUAUAAUUAAAAGACGAGAAGACCCUUUAGAAUUUUAUAUUAAUUUAAAUUAAAAUUAAAAUAUUAUUUAUAUAAAUUUAAACUAAUAUUUAAUUGGGGUAAUUUUUUAAUUUCAUAAACUUUAAAAUAAUUAAACAUUAAUUUAUGAAUUUAUAAACCUAAAAUUUAGAAUUUUAAAAUAAAUUACCUUAGGGAUAACAGCGUAAUUUUUUUUGAAAGUUCACAUUUAUAAAAAAGAUUGCGACCUCGAUGUUGAAUUAAGAUUAAAUUAAAAGCAAAAAUUUAAUAAUUUAAGUCU
rnacentral:rRNA from 1 species